ACCAUGCGGUUAACAUAACUGGACCAGUUUGUUGCGCAACCUUACUUCAUCCGAGUGACAAAUAUUUGUGGUAUGUACAGGUCUACGCCGACGCUAUCUCGAAGAAAUAAAUUAACGAAACAUUUUUGUGGUUUUAUUAACCAAUAAAUGAUAAUAAACGCAUCAAUUGGUAUAAGUGACUGAUACUCUAGGGAACAAUGACUCAUCGCAGCGUACUGUGGUGCGCUUUUAAUAACAAAACGUUUGGUACAACGUACACUUAAAUAUUACAUUUCAAGAACAUUGAAUCGUGCAGCGAGUUCCUAACAAAAUGCAACAAAAGUGAAACACAGCCACUCGACCGCUACUAGAAAACGCAGCCCACCUCGACUGCGCACGGAAUGCGCAUCGUUUUUACAUUAACACGUUGUUAUUCUUGUCCCACUAAUGUGACACUAACAGUGAUUUCAUAAUAUCACUGACAACAAGGGAGUGUUAAAUCUAAUUAGUGGUGCGUGGGGUGCAGUCCGGUAGUGCCGGGCCAGGCGUCAGGUCCCGCGCGUCCUUGUCACCGCGUGCGUCCCGCGCGGGCUGAGUGGGCCGGCGCGAGGCAGCGCGGGCAGUGCGAGCGCGCGCGCCGCCCGAGCGCGACAUGAACGUGUUCACGCAGACGCCGCGCGACGAGCCGCUGCCCGCGCACUACAUCGAGAUCGUGGAGCCGGACCCUGCGGCCUGCGAGCCCUCGGCGCUGCCGCCCGAGGGCAACGUCAAGCUGCGCAACUACAGGCUGCUCAAUGAGAACAUCCGCGCCUACACCCCCACUGGCGACAUCCACACCUCGCCCAGCAAGGGCAAGCUGGUUGCUCGCUACGACGUCUGCGCCACCAUAUCACCUCCCCGCGCACGCAUCCUGGAACUGCUGCGGCCCGAAGAUCCAGGGCGGGACGCACUUGAAGCCAUCGUGAGACCGAUCCCUCGCCGCGGCCUCACUAGACCACUCGAUGAAGAUACUAAACGGUUUCUACAGCGAGCUCUUCAAUCACCCAGCCCCUUGCUAUCGGCAUCUGCCACACCCGAGCCCCAUCACAGACCGCCAGAACCGCCACAAUCAGAUAAGGAUUCAGAGUCAGUCUCAUCCCCUGAAGAUACUAGUCACAAUAAGUCAAAUAACUCUGCUGCUGAGCGGUCAUUGGCAGACGAGCUGCGCGAGGCGGAGGAAGAGGAGCUUACAGGAGGCUGCCGACGGGAGCUGCUGAGCGAGUUCCGCAAGCGAGGUGGUGGUGGAGUGCGGGAGGCAGUGGAGCGGGACCGGCUGGGCCGGCUGGCACUGGCCGUGGAGGAGGACGAGGAGGAGUGCGCGCUGACCGCCACGGCGCGGCGCCUGGACGUGCUGCUGGCGCAGUCGCGCGACCUGCACUCGGAGCUGGCCGACAUCCACGCGGACCUGCAGGUGCUGGCCCGGCGCGUGGCUCGCCGCGACCCCUGACGCGUUCGUACCGUUCUGCCGCCCUGCGCCGCCUCACGCACGCUUUGCACCGUACACUAGAGCUCGCACCUCGCACCGACCUACAUCAACGAUUGAAUUUCCUUCCGUUCCAUAAUGCACAGUUCGAGUAGGGGCCACUCGCCUGGAAUAUUGGCUGCUCAUGAGAAUUUCGCCAGAGCCGCGGGAGCACGGCGAGCGGAUGUGUCGAUAUAAUUAUUACAGCGACUCGGCGGGUCGCCGGUCGGUCGGUAAACAUCGGUCAGUUGCUCGUUAUCUGCGUGCACUUAAACAAACCAAUCUAGUUUACUGCAUCAUUAAGUAAUACAUUAUCGUUUGUUUCGUGCUACUUUCACUUGGUUCGUUGUCUCUGUCUAUCGCCACAAACCAAACUUGGUUGCAAGUGACACGGGAAUAUAUUGAGUACGUCGGCCAUCUACUAUUUAAGAUACUCCCCGCGUUCUGCUAAAGCGUCUUCAGUGCGCGCGCGGCGAUGUACGGCGGCUGCGCGGGCGCUGGGCGCGGAGGCGCGUGCGCUGCGGUUCCUGGACGACGUGGUGGCGCUGCUGCGCGGCGACGUGGCGGCUGCCGUGCGCGCCAGGGCCUGGCCAUUCGCC